GACCCUUCAUCAACCUCCACCAAGACAAAAGGAGAGUUCUAUCAUGCUUUGGCAAAGGACUGGAAGUCAAAAGCCGACAAUAGCAAGGAUCGUGUGACUCGUCCCCUCAACUACAUGCUCUCCAGUGUAUUUUUUGUACUUGAAGCCAUCUGGAAAGCUGACAAGGAGCGGACAACUCAAUCCAAAAUGCAAUGCGCUUCGAUCUAUCGGGACACUUAUGAGCUUCUAGGGUUAGUUUCUGGGACUUUGGGAUUUUUUAAAAAUUGAUGAAUAAUUUCAGAGUCGCCGUGUUUCAAGGUGUCCGCGACACCGACGAUUCCCUGGCGGUUCACAUUUUGCCACGUGUCAAAGUGAUCGGUCAGGUGAUGCUAGCUGUGAUGCAGUAUCAGAUGUAUAUUUUUAGAUCAGAGGUAUGUUUUUUUUUCCUUAAAAUAAAACUUCAAAAGUAUACAAGCACUCUGAACUGGAGAAAUUCUGAAAAUCUGAAAAUUCAGGUUCUGAAAAAAAAUCCGAUUUAUCAACACUAAUAUUCUAAAUUCUAAAUUCUAAAUUCCAAAUUCGAAAUUCUAGCAAGCAAUAAAAACAAUGUCACGAUUGGACAUGCGAGAAGUCUCCGAAUCCAUCGACAUUCGACCGGUGUCCCGUGCAUCCGACUCCUCGUCAGUUCAUUCUCAGCAUCUAACAGUCCCCACAAACAAAGCGGUGACGUCAGUGGCUCACGGGACCCCCAAACCAUCCCCGUCCGCCGGAUCGACACCAUCUGGUCCAACUGGGGCACCUGUAAUCCCAUGGAUCGCCAGCAUUCAGGCUUGUCAGAAUAUGGUAAGGUUUUGUGGAAGUAGACAAUUUUUUUGAUUUUUUUGCAGAGGAAAUCAAUAAAAUCGGAUAAAAAUAGUAGGAAAUGUUUUUAAAAAGUCUUCAAAAAGAUAAACUGGGACUAAGCUAAGGCUUAGGCUUAGGACUAAGCUUAGGACUGAGCACAAGCCCAGGGACUAAGACUAAACCUAAGCCUAAGCUUAAACUUUUGCUUUAUCAAAAGUAUGUUAAUUUUUAUGAAAAAAAACAUGGAUUUUGAAAUUUUUUCUGUGACCAUGUCCCAAAUUUUUUUUCUAAAAAGUUGAUUUUCCAGGUCUCAAUGCCCCAAAUUGUCUACGAUGCCUACAAAUCGCAGCUCAAAACUGCCAACGGGUUGAUGUUGGCCAGUAGAUAUUGGGAAGACUCGAAAACUCUGUCAAAUAUUAUCGAUUCAGGAACUUUUGUCAAAGA
rnacentral:sRNA from 1 species